CCAAUCGAACUCGGAUAUAGCUGGUUCUCCUCGAAAUAGCUUUAGGGCUAGCCUCAAGGUAAAGAUACACGGGGGUAGAGCACUGACUGUUCGCGGGGCCUUCACCGGUUACCAACAACUAUCAAACUCCGAAUACCGUGCUAUCAUACUUGGGAGUCAGACUAUGAGAGAUAAGUUCCAUGGUCGAAAGGGAAACAGCCCAGAUCAACAGCUAAGGUCCCAAAGAGUAAGUUAAGUGGAAAAGGAUGUGGGAUUGCACAAACAGCUAGGAUGUUGGCUUAGAAGCAGCCAUACAUUUAAAGAGUGCGUAAUAGCUCACUAGUCGAGUGAUCCUGCGCCGAAGAUAAACGGGGCUCAAACUUACCACCGAAGCUUUGGAAUUAGUAUAACUAAUUGGUAGAGGAGCAUUCUAUACAGGUAGAAGGAGGCGCGUAAGCAAAUCUGGACGGUAUAGAAGAGAGAAUGUUGGCAUGAGUAGCGUAAGGCGGGUGAGAAUCCCGUCCGCCGAAAAUCUAAGGUUUCCUGAGGAAGGUUCGUCCUCUCAGGGUAAGUCGGGACCUAAGCCGAGAGCGAACGCUGUAGGCGAUGGACAACAGGUUGAUAUUCCUGUACCACCAAGGAUUGUUUGAAUGAAGUGGGGACACAGAAGGAUAGAUUGAGCACGCCGUUGGUUGAGCGUGUCCAAGCAGCAAGGCUUGAAAGUAGGCAAAUCCGCUUUCUACAAGGCUGAGCUGUGAUGGGGUGGUCGAAUGACCGGUAGCAAUCGAUUUCACGCUGUCAAGAAAAGCCGCUAAUGAGAUCCAAGGUGCCCGUACCGCAAACCGACACAGGUAGAUGAGGAGAGAAUCCUAAGGUGAGCGAGCGAACUAUUGUUAAGGAACUCGGCAAAAUAACCCCGUAACUUCGGGAGAAGGGGUGCCUGCUUCGGCAGGCCGCAGUGAAGAGGUCCAGGCAACUGUUUACCAAAAACACAGGUCUCUGCUAAAGCGAAAGCUGAUGUAUAGGGGCUGACGCCUGCCCGGUGCUGGAAGGUUAAGGGGAAGUGUUAGGGCAACCGAAGCACAGAACUUAAGCCCCAGUAAACGGCGGCCGUAACUAUAACGGUCCUAAGGUAGCGAAAUUCCUUGUCGGGUAAGUUCCGACCCGCACGAAAGGCGUAAUGAUCUGGACGCUGUCUCAACAAUAGGCUCGGUGAAAUUGUAGUACCGGUAAAGAUGCCGGUUACCCGCAGCAGGACGGAAAGACCCCGUGGAGCUUCACUGUAGCUUGAUAUUGAUUUUCGGCAUUGCAUGUACAGGAUAGGUGGGAGACGUUGAGUUCAGCACGCCAGUGUUGGAGGAGUCACCGUUGGGAUACCACCCUUGUAAUGUUGGAAAUCUAACCUAGUACCGUGAUCCGGUACAGGGACAGUGUCAGGUGGGCAGUUUGACUGGGGCGGUCGCCUCCUAAAGAGUAACGGAGGCGCCCAAAGGUUCCCUCAGAGCGGACGGAAAUCGCUCGAAGAGUGUAAAGGCAGAAGGGAGCUUGACUGCGAGACCAACAAGUCGAGCAGGGACGAAAGUCGGGCUUAGUGAUCCGGUGGUUCCGAGUGGAAGGGCCAUCGCUCAACGGAUAAAAGCUACCCCGGGGAUAACAGGCU
rnacentral:rRNA from 1 species